rnacentral:rRNA from 1 species
CCAGACUCCUACGGGAGGCAGCAGUGGGGAAUAUUGCGCAAUGGGGGAAACCCUGACGCAGCAACGCCGCGUGCGGGAUGAAGGCUUUCGGGUUGUAAACCGCUUUCAGCAGGGAAGAUAGUGACGGUACCUGCAGAAGAAGCCCCGGCUAAAUACGUGCCAGCAGCCGCGGUAAUACGUAUGGGGCGAGCGUUAUCCGGAUUCAUUGGGCGUAAAGCGCGCGCAGGCGGGCUGCUAAGCGGGACCUCUAAUCUCGGGGCUCAACCCCGAGCCGGGUUCCGAACUGGCAGCCUCGGGUUCGGUAGGGGUAGGCGGAAUUCCCGGUGUAGCGGUGGAAUGCGCAGAUAUCGGGAAGAACACCGAUGGCGAAGGCAGCCUACUGGGCCGCAACCGACGCUGAGGCGCGAAAGCUGGGGGAGCGAACAGGAUUAGAUACCCGGGUA